UACGAAGGGUGCAAGCGUUACUCGGAAUUACUGGGCGUAAAGCGUGCGUAGGUGGUUCGUUAAGUCUGAUGUGAAAGCCCUGGGCUCAACCUGGGAAUGGCAUUGGAUACUGGCGACCUAGAGUGCGGUAGAGGGGUGUGGAAUUCCCGGUGUAGCAGUGAAAUGCGUAGAUAUCUGGAGGAAUACCGGUGGCGAAGGCGGCAUCCUGGACCGGCAUUGACGCUGAGGAGCGAAAGCCAGGGGAGCAAAGCGGG
rnacentral:rRNA from 1 species